AACGAACGCUGGCGGCGUGCCUAACACAUGCAAGUCGUGCGAGAAAGUUCCUUCGGGAGCGAGUAAAGCGGCGCACGGGUGAGUAACACGUAGGUAACCUGCCCCCCAGUCUGGAACAACUAGAGGAAACUCUAGCUAAUGCCGGAUGAGACCACGAUCCCUUCGGGGGUUGCGGCCAAAGAUGGCUUCUACUUGUAAGCUAUUGCUGAGGGAUGGGCCUGCGGGCCAUUAGCUUGUUGGUGAGGUAACGGCUCACCAAGGCUGUGAUGGCUAGCUGGUCUGAGAGGAUGACCAGCCACACUGGGACUGAGGCACGGCCCAGACUCCUACGGGAGGCAGCAGUGGGGAAUAUUGCGCAAUGGGCGAAAGCCUGACGCAGCGACGCCGCGUGGGUGAUGAAGGCCU
rnacentral:rRNA from 1 species